rnacentral:rRNA from 1 species
UACGAGUACCCCAAGCGUUAUCCGGAAUCAUUGGGCGUAAAGGGUGUGUAGGCGGUCUGGUUAGUCUUCUGUCAAAAUUCUGGGCUCAACCCGGAACCUGCGGAGGAAACGGCCAGACUCGAGGGUGCGAGAGGUGAAUGGAACUCAUGGAGUAGGGGUGAAAUCCGUUGAUAUCAUGGGGAACACCAAAGGCGAAGGCAAUUCGCUGGCGCAUUUCUGACGCUGAAACACGAAAGCGUGGGUAGCGAACGGG